GGUUAAGUUAAUAAGGGCGCACGGUGGAUGCCUUGGCACUAGAAGACGAUGAAGGACGGGACUAACUCCGAUAUGCUUUGGGGAGCUGUAAGUAAGCUUUGAUCCAGAGAUUUCCGAAUGGGGAAACCCGGCAGCUUUUAUAGGCUGUCAUCAUAUACUGAAUACAUAGGUAUAUGAGGUGAGACGCAGAGAACUGAAACAUCUAAGUACCUGCAGGAAGAGAAAGAAAAUUCGAUUACCUUAGUAGCGGCGAGCGAAACGGUAAGAGCCCAAACCAAGAAGCUUGCUUCUUGGGGUUGUAGGACUCAGACAUGGUAGUUGUAGUUGAUAGUCGAAUCGACCUGGAAAGGUCAGCCGUAGCGGGUAAAAGCCCCGUAGGCGAAAUGGACUGCACACCUAUGAGUAUCCUGAGUACGGCGGAACACGAGAAAUUCCGUCGGAAUCCGGGAGGACCAUCUCCCAAGGCUAAAUACUCUCUAGUGACCGAUAGUGAACCAGUACCGUGAGGGAAAGGUGAAAAGCACCCCGGAAGGGGAGUGAAAUAGAUCCUGAAACCGUGUGCCUACAACAAGUCAAAGCCCGUUAAUGGGUGAUGGCGUGCCUUUUGUAGAAUGAACCGGCGAGUUACGAUAGCAUGCGAGGUUAAGAUGAAGAGUCGGAGCCGUAGCGAAAGCGAGUCUGAAUAGGGCGAGUGAGUAUGUUGUCGUAGACCCGAAACCAUGUGAUCUACCCAUGGCCAGGUUGAAGGUGCGGUAAAACGCACUGGAGGACCGAACCCACGUACGUUGAAAAGUGCGGGGAUGAGCUGUGGGUAGCGGAGAAAUUCCAAUCGAACUUGGAGAUAGCUGGUUCUCUCCGAAAUAGCUUUAGGGCUAGCCUCGGAUUAAGAAUUGUGGAGGUAGAGCCACUGUUUGGACUAGGGGCCCAUCUCGGGUUACCGAAUUCAGAUAAACUCCGAAUGCCAUAUAUUCAUAUCCGGGAGUCAGACUGCGAGUGAUAAGAUCCGUAGUCGAAAGGGAAACAGCCCAGACCACCAGCUAAGGUCCCAAAAUAUAUGUUAAGUGGAAAAGGAUGUGGGGUUGCACAGACAACUAGGAUGUUGGCUUAGAAGCAGCCACCA
rnacentral:rRNA from 1 species